GGAGCCACGCCAACCGUCCGAGGUCGCGCAGGCGCUGGUGCCCCGUUGGUCCGCGCGUUGCUUCGUUGUGAGGGGUGUCAGCUCAGUGCAUCCCAGGCAGCUCUUAGUGUGGAGCAGUGAACUGUGUGUGGUUUCUUCUACUUGGGGAUCAUGCAGAGAGCUUCACGUCUGAAGAGAGAGCUGCACAUGUUAGCCACAGAGCCACCCCCAGGCAUCACAUGUUGGCAAGAUAAAGACCAAAUGGAUGACCUGCAAGCUCAAAUAUUAGGUGGAGCCAACACACCUUAUGAGAAAGGUGUUUUUAAGCUAGAAGUUAUCAUUCCUGAGAGGUACCCAUUUGAACCUCCUCAGAUCCGAUUUCUCACUCCAAUUUAUCAUCCAAACAUUGAUUCUGCUGGAAGGAUUUGUCUGGAUGUUCUCAAAUUGCCACCAAAAGGUGCUUGGAGACCAUCCCUCAACAUCGCAACUGUGUUGACCUCUAUUCAGCUGCUCAUGUCAGAACCCAACCCUGAUGACCCGCUCAUGGCUGACAUAGUAAAUAUCCCCAUUUUCCUCUGCAACACAUAUCCUACCUUGUCUAUACCGCUAACUCUCCCUGUGUGAGGAUAGCUGCAGCAGCUCUAACCACUGCAAAUCAUGUUUUUCUCCAUUAACUCUUUUCUUUGAUUUCAUCUCAGUCCUCAGAAUUUAAAUAUAAUAAGCCAGCCUUCCUCAAGAAUGCCAGACAGUGGACAGAGAAGCAUGCAAGACAGAAACAAAAGGCUGAUGAGGAAGAGAUGCUUGAUAAUCUACCAGAGGCUGGUGACUCCAGAGUACACAACUCAACACAGAAAAGGAAGGCCAGUCAGCUAGUAGGCAUAGAAAAGAAAUUUCAUCCUGAUGUUU
rnacentral:sRNA from 1 species